GGAGAGGUGUCAGAGUGGUCGAAUGAGCAGUCCUGGAAAGACUGUAUAUGGGAUAACUGUAUCGAGGGUUCGAAUCCCUCCCUCUCCG
rnacentral:tRNA from 1 species